GGGCGUAUAGCUCAGCGGUAGAGCCCCGCGCUUACAACGCGGUGGUCACAGGUUCGAUCCCUGUUGCGCCCA
rnacentral:tRNA from 1 species